rnacentral:misc_RNA from 1 species
CAUCCUACCUAUACAGGGGUUGCAUUAUGGUGAAUCAUUAACUAUAUCAGCUAUACUUCAUUUUCAUUUUACAGUGUGCUAUGCUUAGCAUAAUAUGUAUCCUUUUUUUUUUGGGUGCAGUAUUUGCCAUCUUGCUUUGCUGAGAAGAAUCUAAAUGGGGUUUCAGGAUUCAUUAAACUCCAGUUUUCUGAUGGGAAACAGUGGCCUGUCAGAUGCCUUUAUAGGGGAGGUAGAGCCAAACUAAGCCAAGGGUGGUAUGAAUUCACAUUG